ACGCACGCUGGCGGCGUGCUUAACACAUGCAAGUCGUACGGUAAGGCCCUUUCGGGGGUACACGAGUGGCGACCGGGUGAGUAACACGUGAGUAACCUGCCCACAACUUUGGGAUAACGCUAGGAAACUGGUGCUAAUACUGGAUAUGUGCUCCUGCUGCAUGGUGGGGGUUGGAAAGCUCCGGCGGUUGUGGAUGGACUCGCGGCCUAUCAGCUUGUUGGUGGGGUAGUGGCCUACCAAGGCGGCGACGGGUAGCCGGCCUGAGAGGGUGACCGGCCACAUUGGGACUGAGAUACGGCCCAGACUCCUACGGGAGGCAGCAGUGGGGAAUAUUGCACAAUGGGCGCAAGCCUGAUGCAGCAACGCCGCGUGCGGGAUGACGGCCUUCGGGUUGUAAACCGCUUUCAGCAGGGACGAAGCUUUUUGUGACGGUACCUGCAGAAGAAGCACCGGCUAACUACGUG
rnacentral:rRNA from 1 species